rnacentral:rRNA from 1 species
GACGAACGCUGGCGGCGUGCUUAACACAUGCAAGUCGAACGGAAAGGCCCUGCUUUUGUGGGGUGCUCGAGUGGCGAACGGGUGAGUAACACGUGAGUAACCUGCCCUUGACUUUGGGAUAACUUCAGGAAACUGGGGCUAAUACCGGAUAGGAGCUCCUGCUGCAUGGUGGGGGUUGGAAAGUUUCGGCGGUUGGGGAUGGACUCGCGGCUUAUCAGCGUGUUGGUGGGGUAGUGGCUUACCAAGGCUUUGACGGGUAGCCGGCCUGAGAGGGUGACCGGCCACAUUGGGACUGAGAUACGGCCCAGACUCCUACGGGAGGCAGCAGUGGGGAAUAUUGCACAAUGGGCGGAAGCCUGAUGCAGCAACGCCGCGUGCGGGAUGACGGCCUUCGGGUUGUAAACCGCUUUCGCCUGUGACGAAGCGUGAGUGACGGUAAUGGGUAAAGAAGCACUGGCUAACUACGUG